UACGUAGGGUGCAAGCGUUGUCCGGAAUUAUUGGGCGUAAAGAGCUCGUAGGCGGUCUGUUGCGUCGGCUGUGAAAACCCGGGGCUCAACCCCGGGCCUGCAGCCGAUACGGGCAGACUAGAGUUCGGCAGGGGAGACUGGAAUUCCUGGUGUAGCGGUGAAAUGCGCAGAUAUCAGGAGGAACACCGGUGGCGAAGGCGGGUCUCUGGGCCGAUACUGACGCUGAGGAGCGAAAGCGUGGGGAGCAAACGGG
rnacentral:rRNA from 1 species